CUUUUUGGAGCUAAUUAUGUCAUUUCGAGAAUAAUUAGCUAAGUAUAGGUCAUUUCUUAUUAAAUAGGCCAUUUUGGAGCUAACUAAGCUAAUUAUGUCAUUUCGUAGGAUAACUAGCCAAUUUAGCCUUUCUUGGAGGAGUCUAAGCUACGUAGAAGAAGAGAUAGAGAAGAAGAAGUAAAAUAAGGAGGAGGAGGAGAAGAAGAAGGAAGAGGAGAAGAAGAAGAAAAGAAGAAGGAGAAGGAGAAGGAGAAGAAGAAGGAGAAGGAGAAGGAGAAGGA
rnacentral:lncRNA from 1 species